rnacentral:rRNA from 1 species
AAUGAACGCUGGCGGUAGGCCUAACACAUGCAAGUCGAACGGCAGCACAGUAAGGGCUUGCUCUUACGGGUGGCGCGUGGCGGGCGGGUGAGGAAUACAUCGGAAUCUACUUUUUCGUUGGGGAUAACGUAGGAAAACUUACGCUAAUACCGCAUACGACCUGCGUGUGAAAGCGGGGGAUCUUCGGACCUUUCGCGAUUGACUGAGCCGAUGUCGGAUUAGCUAGUUGGCGGGGUAAAGGCCCACCAAGGCGGCGAUCCGUAGCUGGUCUGAGAGGAUGAUCGGCCACACUGGAACUGAGACACGGUCCAGACUCCUACGGGAGGCAGCAGUGGGGAAUCUUGGACAAUGGGCGAAAGUCUGACGGAGCCAUGCCGCGUGGGUGAAGAAGGUCUUCGGGUUGUAAAACCCUUUUGUAGGGAAAGAAAAGCAGCGGGUGAAACCCACCCUGUCUUGACGGUACCUAAAGAAAAAGCACCGGCUAACUUCGUG